rnacentral:rRNA from 1 species
UACGGAAGGGGCAAGCGUUGUUCGGAAUCAUUGGGCGUAAAGGACGCGUAGGUGGUUCUGUAUGUCUACCGUGAAAGCGUACGGCUCAACCGUAUUUUGUCGGUGGAAACUGCAGGACUUGAGGCUGGGAGGGGCUGGUGGAAUUCCCUGUGUAGCGGUGAAAUGCGUAGAGAUGGGGGAGAACACUCGUGGCGAAGGCGGCCAGCUAGACCAGUUCUGACACUGAGGCGCGACAGCGUGGGGAGCAAACAGG